AGAUUUUCUCUUGAAGAAGUUCAGUGAACCACCUUUUCUGUAAAGUAAUAUGUUUUCUGAUGUACUGUUAGGACAGCUUGAAUCCAUCUCAUUUCCAUGCAAUCUUGUUUUGUCAAUCCCAGUUCAGGAAAUCCUGUUUUCAUUGGACGAUACUCUUUGAAUCACCAAGAAAUAACCCAAUAAAUGUUGCUCUCACAUUAUCCUUAUCUUUUACAGUAGUUGGUUGCAGAAGUUUUAUGAAGAGAUUGUUGUCAAUCUUGUUUUCAACAAACAGACAGCGAUAGAUAAGGUCAGACGCAUUAGUUUCAUAGGUUUUUAUAACAUGAAAAACUACCACGACAGGGGUUAUGCAUGUGAUCCCAAAACUAGCACCUCCACCCUCUCUAGUUUCCCAGAAAAGGUCCUUUCCCAUUGCUUCCUAAUCCAAAACUUUAUAUUUUACGAUAAACAUUUGCAUCAAUCACUUAUGCCAUAGCCAACUCCACUUAUGUGGUCACCGAUACCCAUAAUUGGACAGACCCCUGCUGGGGGAUCCAUGGACUUUGCUCUUAUGGUUGUUUGGACAUCAAAUUCUUUCAAAGGGUUGAAAAUCAACAAAGGCUUUCUGGUUUUGUAAGUGUUGAAAUGGCGAUAUCUGCAGUAGUCUGGUAAAAUGGGUGUAUAGGAUGCAUUAUAAGGGUUGUAGAUUAUCUUAGAGAAUUCAUCUUAUGAAUUUCUCUUGCUUGAUGAGCAUUGGACCAAGUUGUCAUAAACUGAAUCUGUGGUUGCAGUUGAGAAGGAAAAGAGUGUAUAAAAGCAACAGAAACAGCAACAUUUACAUAGUUUCAACACUAGGUGAAUCCAACUGAUGCCGUGGAUCUCACAGAAUGUUCAGAUGUCCUCGAGGAAUAGAGGUCGAUUUCUUGAUUACUUUAACUGGAAAUUCAGUUUCAUUAUACUCUAAUUCACCUCUUUGCAUUUCUUGCUCCAAUAAUGCUUCAAGUAAAGGAAAAAUUUAACACAAUGUGUACAGGUGUUGAUGUGGCAAAAUGUGAUUGGACUGUUUUUAUUCGUUUUCUCACUUUUCAAUGAUGUGGCGCCACGUAUUGUCUGUAAGAAUUUUCUGUCAAAAAAUUCUGUAAUCAUAGCAUGAUUCUUCUUGCUCUCCAAAUAGGUGAACAAAAUCUUAAGGGCUGGAAAGUAUUUUCUCCAAAUUAGCCAAGUGUCAACCUACGUUAACAUUUUUGAAACAAUAAUGAGUCGAGUCAAAUGUACGAAACAUAUAGGUUAAUCAAGAAUGUAUAAAUUAUCUUUUGUUCA